rnacentral:rRNA from 1 species
CGUCUGACGGAGCACGCCGCGUGAGUGAUGAAGGUUUUCGGAUCGUAAAGCUCCUGUUGUUAGGGAAGAGCAAGUGCGAGAGUAACUGCUCGCACCUUGACGGUACCUAACCAGAAAGCCACGGCUAACUACGUGCCAGCAGCCGCGGUAAUACGUAGGUGGCAAGCGUUGUCCGGAAUUAUUGGGCGUAAAGGGCUCGCAGGCGGUUUCUUAAGUCUGAUGUGAAAGCCCCCGGCUCAACCGGGGAGGGUCAUUGGAAACUGGGAAACUUGAGUGCAGAAGAGGAGAGUGGAAUUCCACGUGUAGCGGUGAAAUGCGUAGAGAUGUGGAGGAACACCAGUGGCGAAGGCGACUCUCUGGUCUGUAACUGACGCUGAGGAGCGAAAGCGUGGGGAGCGAACAGGAUUAGAUACCCUGGUAGUCCACGCCGUAAACGAUGAGUGCUAAGUGUUAGGGGGUUUCCGCCCCUUAGUGCUGCAGCUAACGCAUUAAGCACUCCGCCUGGGGAGUACGGUCGCAAGACUGAAACUCAAAGGAAUUGACGGGGGCCCGCACAAGCGGUGGAGCAUGUGGUUUAAUUCGAAGCAACGCGAAGAACCUUACCAGGUCUUGACAUCCUCUGACAACCCUAGAGAUAGGGCUUUCCCUUCGGGGACAGAGUGACAGGUGGUGCAUGGUUGUCGUCAGCUCGUGUCGUGAGAUGUUGGGUUAAGUCCCGCAACGAGCGCAACCCUUGAUCUUAGUUGCCAGCAUUCAGUUGGGCACUCUAAAGGUGACUGCCGGUGACAAACCGGAGGAAGGUGGGGAUGACGUCAAAUCAUCAUGCCCCUUAUGACCUGGGCUACACA